rnacentral:rRNA from 1 species
UACAGAGGUCCCCAAGCGUUGUUCGGAUUCACUGGGCGUAAAGGGUGCGUAGGCGGUCGGGUAAGUCUGAUGUGAAAUCUCACAGCUUAACUGUGAAACUGCAUUGGAUACUAUUCGGCUAGAGAGUUGGAGGGGGGACUGGAAUUCUUGGUGUAGCAGUGAAAUGCGUAGAUAUCAAGAGGAACACCAGUGGCGAAGGCGAGUCUCUGGACAUUUCCUGACGCUGAGGCACGAAAGCCAGGGGAGCAAACGGG